AUUGAACGCUGGCGGCAGGCCUAACACAUGCAAGUCGAGCGGAGCGGCGGACGGGUGCGUAAGGCCUAGGAAUCUGCCUGGUAGUGGGGGAUAACGUCCGGAAACGGGAGCUAAUACCGCUUACUAUCAGAUGAGCCUAGGUCGGAUUAGCGAGUUGGUGGGGUAAAGGCCUACCAAGGCGAAGAUCCGUAGCGGGUCUGAGAGGAUGAUCAGUCACACUGGGACUGAGACACGGUCCAGACUCCUACGGGAGGCAGCAGUGGGGAAUAUUGGACAAUGGGCGCAAGCCUGAUCCAGCCAUGCCGCGUGUGUGAAGAAGGUCUUCGGAUUGUAAAGCACUUUAAGUUGGGAGGCGUUACCAACAGAAUAAGCACCGGCUAACUUCGUGCCAGCAGCCGCGGUAAUAC
rnacentral:rRNA from 1 species